rnacentral:rRNA from 1 species
UACUUUGGUGGCGACCGGCGCACGGGUGCGUAACGCGUAUGCAACCUACCUUUAACAGGGGCAUAACACUGAGAAAUUGGUACUAAUUCCCCAUAACAUUCGAGAAGGCAUCUUCUUGGGUUAAAAACUCCGGUGGUUAAAGAUGGACAUGCGUUGUAUUAGCUAGUUGGUGAGGUAACGGCUCACCAAGGCAACGAUACAUAGGGGGACUGAGAGGUUAACCCCCCACAUUGGUACUGAGACACGGACCAA